rnacentral:misc_RNA from 1 species
AGCUGAGCUAUCCCGACCAUUCCCAGCGUAGUAUCGAUACGCAUUUUAUUAUUUUAGUUGAUAAACGGGGUCUAUGUCAAUUAAAGCGAAAGGAGGGAUUACUAAUUUUUCUCCAAGUACUUCAAUUUAUUUGAUCUUCAUAAAGACCACUUUAUGAGUUUCAGUGUUCGUAAAGCUAUUAAUCCUGAAUUCAUUUUAAUCAGGAUUCUUUGCUAAAAUAGGAUGUGUAUUCUAUAUCACAUGGGAGAAGAUAAAGUAAUUUACGCCCAACUACGUUUAUUAAAGAAUCGUAAAAAUAAAGCAAUUUGUAACCGAAAGGGAUAGGGUAGGAUAACGAUUUUUGCAGUCAAAUAGGUCUGUUUGGGGAUAGAGGGACUUGACACUCACGUGUAAAAAUCAACGGAUUUUCCUCUUACUAUAAAUUUCAUUGUUGCCGGUAUUGACAUGUAGAAGGGGACUCUAUCUUUAUUCUUGUCCGAUUGAUCAGCUCUUACAAAGGUUUAUCGGACUAUGGAGUGAAUGAUUUGAUGAAUAACAAUUCUAGUUUUUCAUGAAUGUUGAAUGAAUUUACACCAAUCCUUCUUCUAUUUUUCAUAAUUCAUAUAAAAAAAAUCUAGAGAUUCGGGCCUUUAUUUUAUUAAUCAUUUUUUUUUAUAUAGUAUAGGUUUUGAUCCUUUCUGACGUUUUGGUGGAAAGAUUCCUAUACUGGUGCCCCCAUUUGUUAGAACAGCUUCCAUUGAGUCUCUUGACCUAUCCUUUUUUUUUUAGUUUUCUGAACCUUUCUUUUUAGAAAACAGGAUUUGGCUCAGGAUUGCCCAUUUUUGUGAAUUCCGGGGUUUCCCUGAAUUUGAAAGUUAUCACUUAGUAGGUUUCCAUAC